rnacentral:rRNA from 1 species
GACGAACGCUGGCGGCGUGCUUAACACAUGCAAGUCGAACGGAAAGGCCCUGCUUUUGUGGGGUGCUCGAGUGGCGAACGGGUGAGUAACACGUAAGUAACCUGCCCUUGACUUUGGGAUAACUUCAGGAAACUGGGGCUAAUAUCGUAUAGGAGAUCCCGCUGCAUGGUGGGGGGUGGAAAUUUUCGGCGGGUGUGGUUGGACUCGCGGCUUACCGACUUGUUGGUGGGGUAGUGGCUUACCAAGGCUUUGGCCGGUAGCCGGCCUGGGAGGGUGACCGGCCACAUUGGGCCUGAGAUAGGGCCCAGACUCCUACAGGAGACAGCAGUGGCGAAUAUUACACAAUGGGCGGAAGCGUGAGGCAGCAACGCCGCGUGCGGGAUGACGGCCUUCUGGUUGUAAACCGCUUUCGCCUGUGACGACGCGUGAGUGACGGUAAUGGGUAAAGAAGCACCGGCUAACUACGUG